AUGAACAGGUAUGAAACAUCAAGCAGCAUAAGGAAAGAUAGCAUGAUAUGAACAGCAAGAUAAGAUUGUUAUGAACAUGUAUGAAACAUCAAGCAGCAUAAGGAAAGAUAGCAUGAUAUGAACAGCAAGAUCAGUAAAGAUAACAGGAUAUCAAUAGGCAUGAUAAGGAAAGACACCAUUACCUGAUCAUCAUGCAACAAACACUCAAGACUCUUGCUGGGUGAAUCUCUUUUACAGGCACAAGCAUGGAAGGCAUUUUAGUAUACUUUGCAGGUGUUGACAAUGGAAUUUCUCUGAGCAGCUUCGAAU